rnacentral:rRNA from 1 species
GAUGAACGCUGGCGGCGUGCCUAAUACAUGCAAGUCGAGCGAACAGACAAGGAGCUUGCUCCUUUGACGUUAGCGGCGGACGGGUGAGUAACACGUGGGUAACCUACCUAUAAGACUGGUAUAACUCCGGGAAACCGGCGCUAAUGCCGGAUAAUAUCUUGAACCGCAUGGUUCUAUAGUGAAAGACGGUUUUGCUGUCACUUAUAGAUGGAUCCGCGCCGUAUUAGCUAGUUGGUAAGGUAACGGCUUACCAAGGCAACGAUACGUAGCCGACCUGAGAGGGUGAUCGGCGACACUGGAACUGAGACACGGUCCAGACUCCUACGGGAGGCAGCAGUAGGGAAUCUUCCGCAAUGGGCGAAAGCCUGACGGAGCAACGCCGCGUGAGUGAUGAAGGUCUUCGGAUCGUAAAACUCUGUUAUUAGGGAAGAACAAAUGUGUAAGUAACUGUGCACGUCUUGACGGUACCUAAUCAGAAAGCCACGGCUAACUACGUG